UAAGUUGAUAGUGAAAUCCUGGGGCUCAACCCCCUACCCAUUAUCAAAACUGCCAAGCUUGAGGACAAGAGAGGUCACUGGAAUUCCUAGUGUAGGAGUGAAAUCCGUAGAUAUUAGGAGGAACACCGAUGGCGUAGGCAGGUGACUGGCUUGUUCCUGACACUAAGGCACGAAAGCGUGGGGAGCGAACGGGAUUAGAUACCCCGGUAGUCCACGCCGUAAACGAUGGAUGCUA
rnacentral:rRNA from 1 species